AAACCAACUGGGAUUACCUUAGUAACGGCGAGUGAAGCGGUAAAAGCUCAAAUUUGAAAUCUGGUACUUUCAGUGCCCGAGUUGUAAUUUGUAGAAUUUGUCUUUGAUUAGGUCCUUGUCUAUGUUCCUUGGAACAGGACGUCAUAGAGGGUGAGAAUCCCGUUUGGCGAGGAUACCUUUUCUCUGUAAGACUUUUUCGAAGAGUCGAGUUGUUUGGGAAUGCAGCUCAAAGUGGGUGGUAAAUUCCAUCUAAAGCUAAAUAUUGGCGAGAGACCGAUAGCGAACAAGUACAGUGAUGGAAAGAUGAAAAGAACUUUGAAAAGAGAGUGAAAAAGUACGUGAAAUUGUUGAAAGGGAAGGGCAUUUGAUCAGACAUGGUGUUUUUUAAAUGUGCAAGUCUCUCGUGGACAUGUGCCUCUGGAAAUUAACACUGGGCCAACAUCAGUUCUGGCGGCAGGAUAAAUCAUUAAGAAUGUAGCUACUUCGGUAGUGUUAUAGCUUUUUGGAAUACUGCCAGCUGGGUA
rnacentral:rRNA from 1 species